CACGCCCUAAACGAUGCGAACUGGACGUUGGGCACACUUAGGUGCUCAGUGUCGAAGCUAACGCGUUAAGUUCGCCGCCUGGGGAGUACGGUCGCAAGACUGAAACUCAAAGGAAUUGACGGGGGCCCGCACAAGCGGUGGAGUAUGUGGUUUAAUUCGACGCAACGCGCAAAACCUUACCUGGGUUAAAUCCACUUGAACCCGCCAGAGAUGGUGGGGUGCCUUCGGGAGCAAGUGAGAAGGUGC
rnacentral:rRNA from 1 species